rnacentral:rRNA from 1 species
AAUCAACGCUGGCGGCGUGCCUCAGACAUGCAAGUCGAACGAUUAAGACUUCCUUCGGGAAGUGCAUAAAGUGGCGCACGGGUGAGUAACACGUAAGUAAUCUACCCUCGAGUGGGGAAUAACGUUCGGAAACGAACGCUAAUACCGCAUAAUGCAGCGGCAUCGCAAGAUGACAGUUGUUAAAGGAGUAAUUCGCUUGAGGAGGAGCUUGCGGCAGAUUAGCUAGUUGGUAAGGUAACGGCUUACCAAGGCUACGAUCUGUAUCCGGUCUAAGAGGACGGUCGGACACACUGGCACUGAAUACCGGGUCAGACUCCUGCGGGAGGCAGCAGUCGGGAAUUUUGGGCAAUGGGCGAAAGCCUGACCCAGCAACGCCGGGUGAAGGAUGAAGUAUUUCGGUAUGUAAACUUCGAAAGAAUGGGAAGAAUAAAUGACGGUACCAUUUAUAAGCUCCGGCUAACUACGUGCCAGCCGCCGCAGUAAAAC